rnacentral:rRNA from 1 species
AACGAACGCUGGCGGCGUGCCUAACACAUGCAAGUCGAACGAGAACGCGGGCUUCGGCCCGUUAGUAGAGUGGCAUACGGGUGAGUAACACGUGGGCAAUCUGCCCGAAGGUGGGGGAUAACUCUCGGAAACGGGGGCUAAUACCGCAUGAUAUCUCGAGGACUCCGGUCCUUGCGAUCAAAGCUAGCCUCUUCUUGAAAGCUAGCGCCAUCGGAGGAGCUCGCGGCCCAUUAGUUUGUUGGUGAGGUAACGGCUCACCAAGACUACGAUGGGUAGCCGGCCUGAGAGGGCGAUCGGCCACACUGGAACUGAGACACGGUCCAG